GUUCCACAGGAUUGCAGGUGAAUGAUGUAGAGAUCUGUUAAAUUCAUUUUAAAUCAUAUUCUGUUAAUGACAUUGUGCUGCAGCCUCAGACUGGGAUCAGUCAUUUUAAUUUCUUUUAGGAUUUCCCAGUGUGAUUGGCUGCAUAGAUGCACACACAUCCCCAUCACAGCUCCCUCACAUCAUGAACAGGAAGUCCAUUCACAGCAUAAAUGUGCAGAUCAGAUGUGAUGCUGCAUACAUCAUUUCUAAUGUGGAGGCCACGUGGUCUGGGUCUGUUCAUGACUCCAGGAUUUAUGGAGAGUCUAACCUGAGCAACAGACUGCAGCGUGGUCAGCAGCAUAAAGAUUUUCACAAUAGAAUUCUCUUGUCUCCCUCCUUUAAUAUGCUCUGAUGUAUCCACUAUACAUUACAGGAGAGUUUGAUGGCCUUCUGCUGGGUGACAGGGGUUACCAUGACAACCCAGGCUGAUGACCUCAUACCCUGACCCUGAACCAGGCCCCCAACAGAACUUCAACCGGGCUCACUGCAGGACCAGAGCCCGGGUGGAGAUGACCAUAGGCCUGCUGAAAGCCCGUUUCCAGAGCCUACGUCUCCUCAGGGUGACCCCUGAGAGGGCCUGUGAUAUUACUGUGGCAUGUGUUGUUCUUCAUAAUAUUACCACUAUUAGAGGAGAGCAACACCCUGCCCUACAAACUGAAGACCCAGAUGAUGAGCCCAUCCACCUGCAGCUAUCCAGGACAGCAGAGCAGUCAGAGACACCGUAUGCAAUAAUCACUUUAGAGUUUAAGUCUCCAUCAUCACCACCACAGCAAAUAAAGACAUGAUACACAUUU